GCAUAUCAAUAAGCGGAGGAAAAGAAAAUAACAAUGAUUCCCCUAGUAACUGCGAGUGAAGAGGGACAAGCUCAAAUUUUAAAUCUGUCGGGUUUUACCUGACCGAGUUGUAAUUUGAAGAAGCGUUUUCUGCGUAUUUGGUCAGCCUAAGUCCUAUUGAAUGAGGCAUCAUGGAGGGUGAUAAUCCCGUCCGGUUGAUCAUUGCGUUUUACGAUACGCUUUCUAAGAGUCAAGUUGUUUGGGAUUGCAGCUUAAAAUGGGAGGUAAAUUUCUCCUAAGGCUAAAUAACGGCGAGAGACCGAUAGCGAACAAGUACCGUGAGGGAAAGAUGAAAAGAACUUUGAAAAGAGAGUUAAACAGUACGUGAAAUUGUUGAAAGGGAAACGAUUGAAGCCAGUCGUACCUGUGGGUAAUCAGCCUUUUGGGUGUGAUUUUGUGGAGUGUGAGGAGUUAAACGCCUUCAUGCCUGCAUAUUCGUGCACUUUGGGUGUAUUUACCCGUGUGGUAAGUUAACAUCAAUUUCGGUGGUCAUAAAAUGGCUGGAGGAAUGUAGCUUCGAUCUUGUAUUGAAGUGUUAUAGCCUUCGGUAGAUGUGAUGAUCGGGAUUGAGGAUUGCAACGGAUACCCUUCGGGGCUACCUGUCUGAUCUCUGAUCGUUGCUCUGGUGCCGAAAGCUUGCUUACGGUUAUCAAAGUCGAUGGUCAAUAGGUUAGAACGGGUUAAAUUCGUUAAGGAUGUUGACGUAAUGGCUUUAAACGAC
rnacentral:rRNA from 1 species